rnacentral:lncRNA from 1 species
AGCAAAUCCUGCUCCACGUGUCGCCCAUCGUGUUGCUCAUUAUAUUACAAAGCCGGUAAAUAAUUGGUCAACCAACUCAUGAUGGCUUCCGUAAAAUUUACAUAGAAGUGAUGAUUUAAACUUCACCAUUUGGAACUCUUGGUUUAAAAUUGAAAAAGGUCACAAGUUUCUCCUAGCUUUAUAUUUAACACUUCUCUCAACUAGCC